rnacentral:rRNA from 1 species
ACUCCUACGGGAGGCAGCAGUGGGGAAUAUUGCACAAUGGGCGCAAGCCUGAUGCAGCCAUGCCGCGUGUGUGAAGAAGGCCUUCGGGUUGUAAAGCACUUUCAGUCGUGAGGAAGGUAGUGUAGUUAAUAGCUGCAUUAUUUGACGUUAGCGACAGAAGAAGCACCGGCUAACUCCGUGCCAGCAGCCGCGGUAAUACGGAGGGUGCGAGCGUUAAUCGGAAUUACUGGGCGUAAAGCGCAUGCAGGUGGUUUGUUAAGUCAGAUGUGAAAGCCCGGGGCUCAACCUCGGAAUUGCAUUUGAAACUGGCAGACUAGAGUACUGUAGAGGGGGGUAGAAUUUCAGGUGUAGCGGUGAAAUGCGUAGAGAUCUGAAGGAAUACCGGUGGCGAAGGCGGCCCCCUGGACAGAUACUGACACUCAGAUGCGAAAGCGUGGGGAGCAAACAGGAUUAGAUA